rnacentral:rRNA from 1 species
UACGUAGGGUGCAAGCGUUGUCCGGAAUUAUUGGGCGUAAAGAGCUCGUAGGCGGUCUGUCGCGUCUGCUGUGAAAACUCAGGGCUUAACCCUGAGCUUGCAGUGGGUACGGGCAGACUAGAGUGCGGUAGGGGAGAUCGGAAUUCCUGGUGUAGCGGUGAAAUGCGCAGAUAUCAGGAGGAACACCGGUGGCGAAGGCGGAUCUCUGGGCCGAUACUGACGCUGAGGAGCGAAAGCGUGGGGAGCGAACAGG